rnacentral:rRNA from 1 species
UACGUAGGGGGCAAGCGUUGUCCGGAUUUAUUGGGCGUAAAGAGCUCGUAGGCGGUUGGGCAAGUCACGUGUGAAAUCUCCACGCUCAACGUGGAGGCGCCACGUGAGACUGCCCUGACUCGAGUCCGGUAGGGGAGCGUGGAAUUCCCGGUGUAGCGGUGAAAUGCGCAGAUAUCGGGAGGAACACCUGUGGCGAAAGCGGCGCACUGGACCACAACUGACGCUGAGGCGCGAAAGCUAGGGGAGCAAACAGG